AUUGAACGCUGGCGGCAGGCCUAACACAUGCAAGUCGAGCGGAUGAAGGGAGCUUGCUCCUGGAUUCAGCGGCGGACGGGUGAGUAAUGCCUAGGAAUCUGCCUGGUAGUGGUCUAUAACGUCCGGAAACGGGCGCUAAUACCGCAUACGUCCUGAGGGAGAAAGUGGGGGAUCUUCGGACCUCACGCUAUCAGAUGAGCCUAGGUCGGAUUAGCUAGUUGGUGGGGUAAAGGCCUACCAAGGCGACGAUCCGUAACUGGUCUGAGAGGAUGAUCAGUCACACUGGAACUGAGACACGGUCCAGACUCCUACGGGAGGCAGCAGUGGGGAAUAUAGGACAAUGGGCGAAAGCAUGAUCCAGCAAUGCCGCGUGUGUGAAGAAGGUCUUCGGAUUGUAAAGCACUUUAAGUUGGGAGGAAGGGAAGUAAGAUAAUACCUUGCUGUUUUGACGUUACCAAAAGAAUAAGCACCGGCUAACUUCGUG
rnacentral:rRNA from 1 species